rnacentral:rRNA from 1 species
GUCGACGCGAACGGGGCUUCGGCCCUGUCGGUAGAGUGGCAGACGGGUGAGUAACACGUGGGUAACCUGCCCGGAGGUGAGGGAUAACGUUGCGAAAGUGACGCUAAUACCGAAUGACAUCAUCGGGGCUUUGGUCCCUUUGAUCAAAGAUGGCCUCUCCUUGGAAGCUAUUGUUUGAAGAUGAGCCCGCGUCCCAUUAGCUUGUUGGUGGGGUAAUGGCCUACCAAGGCAGCGAUGGGUAGCUGGUCUGAGAGGAUGAUCAGCCACACUGGAACUGACACACGGUCCAGACUCCUACGGGAGGCAGCAGUGAGGAAUUUUGCGCAAUGGGGGAAACCCUGACGCAGCAACGCCGCGUGAGUGAUGAAGGCUUUCGGGUCGUAAAGCUCUGUCAAGUGGGAAGAACUCCCAUGAGGUUAAUACCCUCAUGGUUUGACGGUACCACUGAAGGAAGCACCGGCUAACUCCGUGCCAGCAGCCGCGGUAAUACGGGGGGUGCAAGCGUUAUUCGGAUUUACUGGGCGUAAAGCGCGCGUAGGCGGCCGUUUAAGUCAGAUGUGAAAGCCCGGGGCUCAACCCCGGAAGUGCAUUUGAUACUAUUCGGCUUGAGUAUGGGAGAGGGAAGUGGAAUUCCUGGUGUAGAGGUGAAAUUCGUAGAUAUCAGGAGGAACACCGGUGGCGAAGGCGACUUCCUGGACCAAUACUGACGCUGAGG